rnacentral:lncRNA from 1 species
UUUUUGAUAUCUCUUCCUUUUUUAUUUACAAAUAACAAAUUUUUUUAUACAGACAAACAUUUGACGAGUUGUUCUUCUGUUACAUUUAUUUUGCACAAAAAUCACAUUAAAUAUGUCUGAAAGCACACUUGUCAUAUUUAUUUUUUAUAUCAAGCCUACAUAUAUAUAAGUACAUCAUAUAUAUGUCAAAACUCCCAACUCC